GACGAACGCUGGCGGCGUGCUUAACACAUGCAAGUCGAACGGAAAGGCCCUGCUUUUGUGGGGUGCUCGAGUGGCGAACGGGUGAGUAACACGUGAGUAACCUGCCCUUGACUUUGGGAUAACUUCAGGAAACUGGGGCUAAUACCGGAUAGGAGCUCCUGCUGCAUGGUGGGGGUUGGAAAGUUUCGGCGGUUGGGGAUGGACUCGCGGCUUAUCAGCUUGUUGGUGGGGUAGUGGCUUACCAAGGCUUUGACGGGUAGCCGGCCUGAGAGGGUGACCGGCCACAUUGGGACUGAGGUACGGCCCAGACGCCUACGGGAGGCAGCAGUGGGGAAUAUUGCACAAUGGGCGGAAGCCUGAUGCAGAAACGCCGCGUGCGGGAUGACGGCCUUCGGGUUGUAAACCGCUUUCGACUGUGACGAAGCGUGAGUGACGGUAAUGGGUAAAGAAGCACCGGCUAACUACGUG
rnacentral:rRNA from 1 species